rnacentral:rRNA from 1 species
AACGAACGCUGGCGGCGUGGAUAAGACAUGCAAGUCGAACGGGAUCAUUGAGGUAGCAAUAUCGCGAUGGUCUAGUGGCGAACGGGUGCGUAACACGUGGAUACAUUCCGGGAAGCGGGGGAUAGCCCAGGGAAACUUGGAUUAAUACCGCAUGUGGUCGAAAGACUAAAGGCAGGGACCGCAAGGCCUGCCACUUCCCGAUUGGUCCGCGGCCUAUCAGCUAGUUGGCGGGGUAAAAGCCCACCAAGGCUACGACGGGUAGCUGGUCUUAGAGGACGACCAGCCACACUGGAACUGAGACACGGUCCAGACACCUACGGGUGGCAGCAGUCGAGAAUCUUUCACAAUGGGGGCAACCCUGAUGGAGCGACGCCGCGUGGAGGAUAAGGUCUUCGGAUUGUAAACUCCUGUCAUGUGUGAACAAGGCUGCCGUGUUAAUAGCAUGGCAGAUUGAUGGUAACACAAGAGGAAGAGACGGCUAACUCUGUGCCAGCAGCCG